AAAUCUCCAAACAGCACUUUAAUUAUUUUGUUGGAUACUGUAUUCAGACAUCAGCCACAUUUCAAAACAAAGAAAUCAAGGAGAUUGGAAAGGUCUAUUCUGUAUAAACUUUGUGAGCCUGCCAUAGUAAAAUCAGCCAGUAUAUAUUGCGAAACUGUUCACGCCAACACUUAGGGACUUUCAGGGGUAAGCACCUCCCCCGUGCUGAUGCCCAUAUUUGUACCCAUGUUUGUAGGACAUGACUCUUCUACACCCUAACCCCUGCUGACAGGAUGGGGGGUCUGUAUCUUAGCAAAGCUGGACAAUCAGAAUCUCUUCUUGGAAUUUAGAAUUGGAACACAGAAACUAGACUGCACUUAAUUUCUGAUGAGUGUUUGAGUUAGGAGAUCUGGAAACGCAGAGGCUGGGACCAACAUGUGCGGGCCGGAGCACAGUAAGAUAAUCUACAGUAAGACCCAGGAAAAAUAAAGUUGAUGUACCAAUAGGAGCAGAGCCAAGAGAUCAACUCUUCUGAAAAAAACAAAGCAAAUAACCUUGGAUUCAAAUUUUCUGGGUCCUGGAUCCAGUACCAAAUGACAGAUCUCUAUAAUUAUUACUCUACAGUUAUUAGAGAUACCAUCAGACAUUCAAUACAUUCCCCACUUUUUGUUUCUGACCUGAGCUGGUUUGAAUGAGUUUCUGUUCUGACAACAAAGUGAUUCCCCUCUUUAUUCAACCAGGCACUGGUACUCCUUGUCCAUUAUGAGAUUAAUAAGAAAUAAAUGAAGUUAAUUAUAAGGAAUUAAUUAAUGAUAAAAUAUAGUACCCUGAUAGAAAAGGGCUAAAGGCAGAUUAUCUAGAAUGGAUAUUUUAAGUUAAAUUUAAACAAAUAUAUGUGGUAGCCAUACACUCAUAUUGCUAUAUUAGAAAGAGGAGAUAACAAAAGCAAGAGGAAGAAAAUAAAAGGGGAAACCAAGGCAGUUCCUGACUUUUAAGUUCUUUCCUUCAGCAGUGUCUACUCUUCCCCUUUUUGUUUUUACAAAAUCCUCCAACAAAAGAUAAGCUUGGUAAAGAUCCAAAAAGUGGGAAUGUACAAAUUAACAACUAGUUUCUAAGCAUCUUAUAGGAACUCAACAUUAUAUAAGGUUGUUGGGGAAUCAGCAGAAAAAAAAGCAUUGAUCCUUACAUGCAGAGAACUACAACUACAAUCUAGUUAACAUGUUAGAUAACACCAGCACAAGAGUCAUUACAUGGACAUAGAAAAUUGAGGUGAUUGCCUUAUGCCUGAGUCCCAGAAAACAUGGGUGGGUCCCAUGGUAUUCAAGUAUUCAAGAGAAAUACAUGCCCCAAGCAGAAUCAGAUCCACAGCCAAAUGGAAUACAUAGACUAUCUUCUAGGGGAGACAAACUCAUAGUGAGGAAGGUAAUACUGAGCAUUAAGUCUGAAGAGCAAGUUAGAAAAAAGAGAAAGCAUGUGUCUUUAUAGUACAAUGAUUUAUAAUCCAUUGGGUAUAUACCCAGUAAUGGGAUUGCUGGGUCAAAUGAUAUUUCUGGUUCUAGAUCCUUGAGGAAUCACCGCACUGUCUUCCACAGUGGUUGAACUAAUUUACACUCCCACCAGUAGUGUAAAUAUGUUCCUAUUUCUCCACAUUCUCUCCAGCAUCUGUUGUUUCCUGACUUUUUAGUGAUUGCCAUUCUAACUGGCAUGAGAUGGUAUCUCAUUGUGGUUUUGAUUUGCAUUUCUGUAAUGACCAGUGAUAAUGAGCUUUUUUCAUGUUUGUUGGCCGCAUAAAUGUCUUCUUUUUUUUGUAUAUGCAUACUUUUAUUUUUACAUUGUAAAUUACCACUUUUUUACAGCAUAUAAAUGAACAUAGGUAUAAGCCAGCAAGAAUAAAUAGCAUAUAUCUAGUGAAAAGAAUCAGAAUUUCUCAAACACAGUAAAUACCUACAUCCUACUUUUUAGGAACCAAAUGCCAACUACAUAUAUAUAACAAGGUAAGUACUGCUAUAUCAGCAUUACCAAAAACACUUUCUUUAGGAAUUGUAAAUAAGUAUCAUCCAGCACCUGGAUGCUAAAUAAAAGAGCUGGAAGACUAAAUAAAAAGGAAAGUCACUCUUUUUCAGAUGGGCCUCCUCUUCAGGGGUCAGCUUUCUCUUUAUAAGGUUGGUAAUACCCUUCUCUCCAAAGAAGGAAUACUGAGGAAGACUUCUUCAUUUAUUCCGUAGAGGCCCUUAAUUAUGGUGGAAACUGGAUGUUUUCUCCUAAGAUUCUUCAAAAUACUUUCUGUUAAAUCAGCUCCAGAUAGGCCAAUGGCCCACGAAGUAGAACUUUUCAUUUCAAUAAUCUCAUAGGCACUAGCAAUCACUUCUUUGUGGACAUUUUUCCAUUUCUCAGGAUCUUUAUCAGUUCCUAUAUCAGAGUUCAGAUCCUUCAAAAGGACACCAGCUAUGUUCAUUCCACUCCACACAGGAACACUUGAGUCUCCAUGCUCUCCGAGGAUCCAUCCACGGCAGCUUUCAGAGUGGAUACCAAGCUUUUGUCCAAUGAAGAAUUGAAAACGAACAGUAUCCAGAUUACAGCCGCUUCCAAUAACACGGUUUUUGGGAAAUGCACUCAACUUCCAGGCUACGUAAGUUAAGAUAUCUACUGGAUUGGAAACAAUAAUUAGUUUGCAGAGGGGGCUCUGCUGGACAAUACUGGAAAUCAUUAACUUGAAGAUGGCCACAUUUUGCCGGACUAAAUUAAAGCGCAUUUCUCCCUUUUCUCGGCGUGCACCUGCUGUGAUAAUCACUAGAUGGGGGUUUGCUGUGACAAGGUAAUCUUUGCUACAAACAAUAUUUGACAUUUUCAUGAAAGGGCUGUCAUGUUGAAGAUCCAUUGUCUCACCUUUCAGUUUGCCUUCAUCAAGAUCCACAAAGGCAAGUUCAUCACUCAAGCCUUUUAAUAAGAUGCUGGUAGCGCAGGCCAUGCCCACUGAUCCAGUUCCUGUGAUGGAGACCUUUCUGUGAUGAAAGGGCUCCUCGGAAGUGAAGCACUCAAUAAGCUCACUCUUCACAGUCGCCAUCUUGCUCACGGAGGUGAAGAG
rnacentral:lncRNA from 1 species